rnacentral:rRNA from 1 species
AGUUUGAUCCUGGCUCAGGAUGAACGCUAGCGGCAGGCUUAACACAUGCAAGUCGAGGGGGCAGCGCGGGGUCUGCUUGCAGACCCUGGCGGCGACCGGCGGAUGGGUGAGUAACGCGUAUCCAACCUGCCCCUGUCCCGGGGACAGCCCUUAGAAAUGAGGAUUAACCCCCGAUGGCGCGGAUCAGCCGCAUGGUUUAUCCGCCAAAUGUGAAGGACAGGGAUGGGGAUGCGUUCCAUUAGGUUGCAGGCGGGGUAACGGCCCACCUGGCCGACGAUGGAUAGGGGUUCUGAGAGGAAGGUCCCCCACAUUGGAACUGAGACACGGUCCAGACUCCUACGGGAGGCAGCAGUGAGGAAUAUUGGUCAAUGGGCGCAAGCCUGAACCAGCCAAGUAGCGUGCGGGAUGAAGGCCCUACGGGUUGUAAACUGCUUUUAUGCGGGGAUAAAGUUCACUACGUGUAGUGUUUUGCAGGUACCGCAUGAAUAAGGACCGGCUAAUUCCGUGCC